rnacentral:rRNA from 11 species
UUUUAAUUGAAGACUUGUAUGAAUGGUUGAACGAGAAAAUAACUGUCUCUUUAAAAAAUCUUGAACUUUACUUUUAAGUGAAAAGGCUUAAAUAAUUUUAAGGGACGAUAAGACCCUAUAAAUCUUUAUAUUAUUUUUCUUUAAAUUUCAAAUUAUAUGUUAAAAGAAAUAAAAGAAAAAAAUAUUAUAUUGGGGAGAUAAAAAUAUAAUUUUUAACUGUUUUAAAAAUAAAACAAUAAUUUUUGAUUAAAAAAAAAUUGAUCCUUUUUAAAGAUUUAAAGAUUAAGUUACUUUAGGGAUAACAGCGUAAUUUUUUUUGAGAGUUCUUAUCGAAAUAAAAGUUUGCGACCUCGAUGUUGAAUUAAAAUAUCCUUAUAAGUGCAGAAGCUAUAA